UCACUGUUGGGCUGCCAACUGACAGGUCUUAAGGCUCCCAGUAUAAUAGCAGUCUUAAGAAGAGACAAGAAACCCGAAGUCAAAGAUAACCCAAAGUGCCUCUCAUUCUUGCCUUGAUAUAUUCUUCCUUGAAACUAGAUACUGAAGGAAACAUGAGAAUUUACAAUUCAUGGAACAAAAACUACCAUGCUUCAGUAUGAAAGGCCAUCUUUGAUAUGCUCAGAAGAAUGAACAUAGCCAGGACAUUGUUUGACUUCCUCCAGUCCUCUGACACCUUGCUUGUUCUUGAAGAAUUCUCAAAAAUGAUGAGAAGUGGUUCAGAGAUUACAUAAGCAGGUUUCUUUAGCACUUUGGGACACAGUUCUUCUGGAACCAAAUCUUGGAUGACAUUGAUUGGCCUCUGGAAGGACCCCAUUUCCCUCCCCAACAAAGCACAAAGCAGCACAAAAGGGUAAAUAAUUUUAGUGUGAUUGUGUAAUGAGCAACAUAUGAAUGAGCUCCAAUGACUUCUUUAUUUGUAUGACUGCUAAGAAAACUUCCAAUACUACUGAGCAGAGGGAGAACACCACCCCAGAAC